rnacentral:rRNA from 1 species
UGCCAGCAGCCGCGGUAAUACGGAGGGUCCAAGCGUUGUUCGGAAUCAUUGGGCGUAAAGCGGACGAAGGCGGCCGGGUAAGUCGGAUGUGAAAUCCCAGGGCCCAACCCUGGAACUGCAUUCGAAACUGCUCGGCUAGAGUCCCGGAGGGGGUGGCGGAAUUCCCGGUGUAGGGGUGAAAUCCGUAGAUAUCGGGAGGAACACCAGUGGCGAAGGCGGCCACCUGGACGGUGACUGACGCUGAGAUCCGAAAGCGUGGGGAGCAAACAGGAUUAGAUA